UCCGUAGGGUGCAAGCGUUGUCCGGAAUUAUUGGGCGUAAAGAGCUUGUAGGCGGUUUGUCGCGUCUGAUGUGAAAUUUCGGGGCUCAACCCCGAACUUGCAGUGGGUACGGGCAGACUAGAGUGUGGUAGGGGAGACUGGAAUUCCUGGUGUAGCGGUGAAAUGCGCAGAUAUCAGGAGGAACACCGAUGGCGAAGGCAGGUCUCUGGGCCAUAACUGACGCUGAGAAGCGAAAGCAUGGGGAGCGAACAGG
rnacentral:rRNA from 1 species